rnacentral:rRNA from 1 species
AAACCAGCACCUCAAGUGGUCAGGAUGAUUAUUGGGCCUAAAGCAUCCGUAGCCGGCUUUGUAAGUUUUCGGUUAAAUCCAUACGCUCAACGUAUGGGCUGCCGGGAAUACUGCAAGGCUAGGGAGUGGGAGAGGUAGACGGUACUCGGUAGGAAGGGGUAAAAUCCUUUGAUCUCUCGAUGACCACCUGUGGCGAAGGCGGUCUACCAGAACACGUCCGACGGUGAGGGAUGAAAGCUGGCGGAGCAAACCGGAUUAGAAACCCGAGUAGUCC